GGCUCAGGACGAACGCUGGCGGCGUGCUUAACACAUGCAAGUCGAACGAUGAUGCCCAGCUUGCUGGGUGGAUUAGUGGCGAACGGGUGAGUAACACGUGAGUAACCUGCCCCUGACUCUGGGAUAAGCGUUGGAAACGACGUCUAAUACUGGAUAUGAUCACUGGCCGCAUGGUCUGGUGGUGGAAAGAUUUUUUGGUUGGGGAUGGACUCGCGGCCUAUCAGCUUGUUGGUGAGGUAAUGGCUCACCAAGGCGACGACGGGUAGCCGGCCUGAGAGGGUGACCGGCCACACUGGGACUGAGACACGGCCCAGACUCCUACGGGAGGCAGCAGUGGGGAAUAUUGCACAAUGGGCGAAAGCCUGAUGCAGCAACGCCGCGUGAGGGAUGACGGCCUUCGGGUUGUAAACCUCUUUUAGUAGGGAAGAAGCGAAAGU
rnacentral:rRNA from 2 species